UGCCAGCCGCCGCGGUAAUACGUAGGGGGAAAGCGUUGUCCGGAUUUACUGGGUGUAAAGGGCGCGUAGGCGGGUUUGUAAGUCAGAGGUGAAAUCCUGCGGCUCAACCGUAGAACUGCCUUUGAAACUACAAACCUUGAGUUUGGAAGAGAGAGAUGGAAUUCCAGGUGUAGUGGUGAAAUACGUAGAUAUCUGGAAGAACACCAGUGUCGAAGGCGAUCUCUUAGUCCAUAACUGACGCUGAGUCGCGACAGCGUGGGGCGCAAACAGUAUUCGAUA
rnacentral:rRNA from 1 species